rnacentral:rRNA from 1 species
UACGGAGGGGGCUAGCGUUGUUCGGAAUUACUGGGCGUAAAGCGCGCGUAGGCGGACCUGCAAGUCGGGGGUGAAAGCCCGAGGCCUCGAACCUCGGAACUGCCUUCGAUACGUGCGGGUCUGCGGAGUCCGGGAGAGGUGAGUGGAAUCCUAGUGUAGAGGUGAAAUUCGUAGAUAUUAGGAAGAACACCAGGUGGCGGAAGGCGGCUGCCAGCUGGCCCGGUACUGACGCGUGGAGGCGAGCGGAAAGGCGUGGGGAGCAAACAGG